UACGGAGGGAGCAAGCGUUACUCGGAAUUACUGGGCGUAAAGGGCGCGUAGGCGAUUUUGUAAGUCUUGUGUGAAAGCCCAAAGCCUAACUUUGGAAGUGCACAAGAUACUGCGAGAAUUGAGUUCCGGAGAGGAAGAUGGAAUUCCCGGUGUAGCGGUGAAAUGCGUAGAUAUCCGGAGGAACACCGGUGGCGAAGGCGGCUUCCUGGACCGACACUGACGCUGAGGCGCGAAAGCUAGGGGAGCAAACGGG
rnacentral:rRNA from 1 species